AACACACUGAACUCAAACGCACCUUAUUGUGGGCAUCUGUGUGGCGGAUUACAUUCCUCAGCAAUGUCUUCCCCAUCGGCUGCUUUGACAUGAUGACUCCUGACGUGUGACAUGUGCAAAAACAAUGUCAGACCAGGACAUGACAUGUAGCAAGAAAGAACAAGAGAAAAAUAAUUUCAAGAGGAAGACCGGGUUACUUUCUGCUAGAUGUGUUAUGCAUUAUGAAGCAAGAUUUGUGGGUUACCUAUUACAGGACUGCCAACUCUCACGCUUUGCCCGUGAGACCCACGCAACUCACAUGCUACUCCAAAUAUCACACGGGCAUAAUAAAAAAAUGAAAAAGUUCCACUUUGCUGUUAUGGGAAUAUGUAACCUUUGGGGAAAUCCAGAGAACGCCAGGUUUGUGAAAAUCCGGUUUAUAAAUCCACUGUGAGGAUCUUCUGAGUGAAGCCAACAGAAGGAAAAUCUCAUCUGGUUGUGAAGAAGGAGACUGAAUGGACAAAGUCCUCAGUGAACCACUUCCUGUUUAACUUUCACUUACAGAAAGACAGACCAACUGUUUCAGCAGUUUGUUAUUCUCUGUUCAGCAGACAGGUGCUCUGCUUUGGAGUGUGACGAUGUUGUCGGUGAUGUGGAGAGUGAAGUUUCCGUUUCACCCACAGCGUGCUUUAGGGCACCUGGGUCAGACUUGAUGUUUGAAAUACUGACCGACAGCACAGAUUUAACUGUCUGCAGUUCUGUUUUGAUGGAUGUUAUAUUUUCACUCAAAGCCGCCAGGAGCUGGGUCUUUAAAAUAACCGCUGUCUCCUUACAGAGUGAAAGUAGCAGUUCCUCCUUAAGGUCAGAGAUUGCAGCAUCUGAGGGCCUCUUCAAAAGAAGAUGUAGUUGAUGAAGGUGUUCAGGAGCAGGGCCAGAAAGACCACAACCAAGCAGCCUGGAGAUCUUAGGCAGCGUCUCCCUCAGGUGGGUGUCAACGGUGUUCAGGGUCAGGGGCCUCAUUUAUAAAGCUUGCGUACGCACAAAACAGGGCGUAAAUCACAAACUUUGCGUAGAAAGUGGCGUACGCUGUGUUCGUUGUGAUUUCUAAAACAAACUUGGCGUGAGAAUGUGCGCACCGGUGCGCCAACUUUGAUGCUUGCUUAAGCACAUUUUGGAGACAGAGGGAACGAGGGUGAAGUGGCGAAUUGAAACCAGACUGAUCUCAAACCUUUAUUGUUAUCACAUAUUAGACUUGUAGAGCCGGAUAAUCAUAAACCCUCAUCGUUGUAGAUGUUCAUAUAGUGCGUCAUUCGGCCGACGACUGUAUUUGCAGAACUAUGUUCAUAUAUUAACAGGGGCGGAUUGAACGUUAUUUCAUUCAGUCGUUUGACCGAAGGGCCGGUCCGGUGAUCUUUAUUAAAUAAUUUUGUUUACUGAUCACCCGGCGCCUGUAUGGCUCAUCCAUUUGCAGGGGUGGUCUCCGACGCAGUGGCUCGGCUUCGAUUCCUGCCCGCGGCUCUUUUAUGCAUGUCUUCUCCCUACUCUUCUCCCCAUUUGCUGUCACUCUUCACUGCAACUAUCACAGUAAAAAGGCAAAAAAAAAGAAGUAAAGAAUUUUGUUUAUUUAUCUAUAUGCGGCCGAAUGGGAUGAGCGUCCUACCAUUAAUCAGCCCUGUACAGGCAUGCAGGCACACAUGCUUCACACCACAACCCCCGAGUGAAAAUGAAUUUGUCCGUGAACCGAAAAAAUGUACAUUCAAUCAGUUUACAAAUUAUUUGUACAUCGGACAUGAUCAUAACAAAUUUAGUGGCAGGGUGGCCUGGGUCAACACAUGAUUCAUUCAUCCUGACGCACAGCAGUGAAAAGACUGCCGGCCGGCGCUGCGUGAAAUGCCGUUGAUCAGCAGCUUAUUUAUAUACAGAUACAUUCAUGAGUUACUUUGCAUUGACCAUUCAUGGUAAAAUGUGGGUGUGUUGUGGGCGGAAUGUGAGGUGGAUCCACCUGUGCAAUCUUCCAGCUGGUGUGUGAUUUAUCAAGAAAUUGCAUGCAGCUGUGCUUACGCAAAGUUUUAUAAAUCAGGGGCGAAGGGCAUACGCCCAUUUCGUAUUUUCGGCGUACGCAAACUUUAGUAUGGAUCCUAAGCAAUGUUUUAUAAAUGAGGCCCCAGGUCUGUGGUAAUCCCAUGAAGAAAGAACAGAAAAAAAUCUAGAUUAUAAAUCAACAUGCAACCAAAGCACUGUGUGUAUAUCACUAUAGUAUAGGAUGUAGUUCAGAAAAUGUCCAAGUAUCGUAUACUUUUCAAGAAUAACAUAGUAUGGCCUGUAGUUCAGUUGCUUGUUAUUGAAAAUAUCUUGCUAGCGGAGCUGAAGCUCAGAAAGUCUGAGAUGUUUGUUCCAAAUAUGCUCAUUCUCAAGUCUUAUCUGAACUGUCCUCUUUUGUUUGAACUUUCCCUAAACUUAGGAGUUAAUGACAGAGCAGCACAUCCAGACUCAGUCUCAUUUAUGUAGAGAUUAAACUUCAGUGUCAUUCAUUGAUGUUACAGUGCAGUUUUUCAGAUGUUUGUUGCACAUGCUCCCGACCAAACCAGUCCAGGUGGAAAACGACGUGAAGAGAAGCUCCAGAGGAUGAAUAUCACACAUUUACGUUGGAAAUAAAUGUCCUUUAAUUAGACAUUGUCAUGCAAAAGUUGGAUUUCCCUUUAAUGAUGUUAAAAUCUUUGUUGAUGUUGGUUUCUAAAUGUUUUUUGACACUUGGCCCCAAAGAUUAAAACCUUCUACGGCUCACAAGCUGCAACAAUUCGCACAUUAUCAACUAUCUUUCUGACUAAACUAAGAUAAAAAAAGUGAAAAGCAGCCUGAUUCCUGCAUCAUGAAUGCAAAUCUUUUUGGUUUUUGACAGUAAACUGAAUAUAUUUGGGUUUGACAUUUUAUAAACCAAAACAAGAAAUGAAUUACUGGAGAAAACAAUCAACAGAAUAAUAGACAAAGAAAAUGUGUUUUCCAACAUUAAAAGAUACAUACAAUUCAAGUUAAAUUUUAUUGAUAGAACUCCAGUGAAAGGUCAAAUUGUCUCAAGACACUUUAUUUUUUAUAUUUUUUUGUCAUGUUUAAAAUAUGACAGAGUAAGAAAUUUAAACCUCUUGACUAAUCCAAUUUAUUAUUUGGUUUUUAAGAGACUAAUGGACAAUUAAAAUAAUUUUCUCCACUAAAAUUAAUAAACAUGAGGUCAAAUGGAAGGAACCGUUUUAAAUCCUGCAGUCCCAUGACGACAAGAAUGAAGUUUGUCAACAAAAACUAAAUCUGCUGGUGGAUUCCAUUAAAGUCCUACUAAAUGAUAAUAAAGUGUGAUACUAAAGGUUUGUGGGGCUAACAUCUAUCAAUGUUAUUGUGAUGGUUGUUGUAUGAUGCUGUGCUGUGUGGAUGUUGUGACUGGUAUUGGUGUUAUCACUGUAUUUUAAUGAAUUUACUCUUAUUUUUUUAAUGUUGUUGCUGGCAUUUUCAUCUACCCAGGGACUACAGUUGGAAAUUAGCUUUAUAGCUAAAACUGGUACAUUUACAGAAAUGUUGAUUAAUGUGCACUGUCCCUGUUCAAAUAAACUAAUAAAAAAUAA